UACAGAGGUCUCAAGCGUUGUUCGGAAUCAUUGGGCGUAAAGAGCGCGUAGGCGGUCCGGUAAGUCGGUUGUGAAAACUGGGGGCUCAACCCUCAGAGGCCGACCGAUACUGUCGGGCUAGAGUCCGGAAGAGGCGAGUGGAAUUCCUGGUGUAGCGGUGAAAUGCGCAGAUAUCAGGAGGAACACCAAUGGCGAAGGCAGCUCGCUGGGACGGUACUGACGCUGAGGCGCGAAAGCGUGGGGAGCAAACAGG
rnacentral:rRNA from 1 species